GCUCCGGUAACCUAGUGGUCAGAGUGUCUGCCUUAGAUGCUGGAGGAUGUGGGUUCGAUCCCCAGCCGAGUCA